rnacentral:rRNA from 1 species
UACGUAGGGUGCGAGCGUUAAUCGGAAUUACUGGGCGUAAAGCGUGCGCAGGCGGUUUGGUAAGACAGGCGUGAAAUCCCCGGGCUUAACCUGGGAACUGCGUUUGUGACUGCCAGGCUAGAGUACGGCAGAGGGGGGUGGAAUUCCGCGUGUAGCAGUGAAAUGCGUAGAUAUGCGGAGGAACACCGAUGGCGAAGGCAAUCCCCUGGACCUGUACUGACGCUCAUGCACGAAAGCGUGGGGAGCAAACAGG